rnacentral:rRNA from 1 species
UAUGUAGGCGGUUCGGAAAGUCAGGUGUGAAAGCCCGGGGCUCAACCCCGGAACGGCACCCGAUACUCCCGGACUUGAGUCAUGGAGGGGAGUCUGGAAUUCACGGUGUAGCAGUGAAAUGCGUGGAUAUCGUGAGGAACACUAGUGGCGAAGGCGAGACUCUGGACAUGUACUGACGCUGAGAUACGAAGGCCAGGGGAGCGAACG